AAACUCUCAAGGAUAGAAAAUGAACCUUUGGAGGUAAAAAUGAGUUAAUCAGAGGUGUGCAGGAAGAGAAAAGUUUAGGGGUUAAAUCUGAGGGGAUCUCUGGGAGAGAGAAUGAAGAUCUUGUCUUAAAAAUUAAAAGAGGUGAUCAGUUGUGGCUGCCCAGGCGGGUUUUGGGGCUUAAAAAGGAGUUUGAUUCUCUGCAGGUCAGUGAAUGCAAAUGUGGAGGUGAUCAGCAGUGGAGAGGAGGGGAUCAUUUUGGGGUCAGACCUUGGGCAGGAACUGAACUCAGGAGCUCAGCUGCUCCUGCCCCAGAGAGCAUCAGUGAAAGCAGCACUAUUGCCCUGAUGGUGGAAUUGCCAGUCUGUCCGUGAGCUGAGCUGUGGCUGCAGGGCACUGUCAGAUGGUGGAAUUGCCAGUCUGUCCGUGAGCUGAGCUGUGGCUGCAGGGCACUGUCAGAUGGUGGAAUUGCCAGUCUGUCCGUGAGCUGAGCUGUGGCUGCAGGGCACUGUCAGAUGGUGGAAUUGCCAGUCUGUCCGUGAGCUGAGCUGUGGCUGCAGGGCACUGUCAGAUGGUGGAAUUGCCAGUCUGUCCGUGAGCUGAGCUGUGGCUGCAGGGCACUGUCAGGUAUUGUUGGCUGUGAGUUCCUGCUCUUCUCCCCGGGAGAUUGGAAAUCCUUCUCAGUUAGGUUGCAGAAAUCUUUUCUGAAGCCGUUUGUCUGCCUUUGGCUGACAGAUCACCCUCCUUCUGCCUUGGGAUUUGCAGCUCUUCCGCCCUGGAGAGGGUCAGGAGCAAGGCCCUGAGAUC